rnacentral:rRNA from 1 species
GUAACCCAAUAUCCGGUAUCUCCUAGGACCGGGACCACCCGCGGGUACGGCACUCGGAUGUUUCUGGGGCGGAUGGGUUGAGGAGAGGACAGCAACGAGAAUAGAAUAGGGUAGUGGGUAAAGAAGGAGAAAGGAGGGAGAGAGAGAGAGAGAGAGAGAGAGAAUGUGUUCAACGACGACUCAACCACAACAGGAACAAGGACCUGCCUGUGUAGGCUGUACAGCUGCCGCCACCGCGCCGGGAAGCCGCCCAAGGGACCUAGCCCCUCCCGGUUCCCCCUACUCGACGAGCCGUUCUUCUACUCGCUGCCCAAGAAGUAGCUCCUCCUCCUCCUUCUCCUCCGCCUCCUCCACGACUGCCUCUCGAGGAGGUAGCCCCGCGGCAGCGGCAGCUCGAGAAGGUAGCCCCUCCUGAGGAGCAGCCUCCAACCACCGCUUCCCCUUCUGCUCCUCCACCUCUCGUUCGAGUUCCUCCUCGGGCCCGAGCCCACGGACCUGCGGGACCUCCUGAGGAACGGGUAGUUCUUGCCCGACAGUUCGAAGAUGCGGCCGUUCAGGUUCAGGAAGUGGUCGGAGCGCCUCCGCCGCCGCGCCCUGCGGCACUUCCUCGAGCGGUUCGGCCUCUUGGGGAAGUUGUUCGCGGCGGCGUAAGACCGGUGGACCAGCGCGGCGCGGAGGACGUCGAGCGACCGGUGCCGGUGGAUGGACGGGGGCGAGGAGCGGGGGCUGGUGCGGGAGGGGCUCCCGCUGCUUCCGCUCCUUCUGCUGCUGAGGCUGAGGCCGAGGCUGCUCGUCGUGGCGCCGUUCUUGCCCACCCUCCGCGGCCGUAACGGCGGGGGAGCCGAGUCGCACUUGUGGGUCUGGCCGCGUAGCCGCCGCUCCUCCCCGCCGUCGAAGUCCAGCGGCUCUAGCAUAAGUGACAGUCUAGAAGCUUUGCCGCCACUACGAUCAAUAUUAGUCAUCGACGCUUAAGCGUCGGUAACUAGAGAGAACACAGGGUAUCUAGACAGUGAUGAUGAAUGAGGAAUUAAUAUAUAUUCAUUCGUUAGCGUUCUCGUACACAUUCACAGAUUCGAUUUAAGCAACACAAGAACAUAGGUACAGGACCUAGGGCAACUGGAGCGAGUGGAGUACAUGCGUCUGUACAUACUUGACGAGGCCACUUGACUCAAGUGGCUUGACUAGGUUGUGGGGCCGGUAGUAAUUGAUUACUACUUGCUAGGAGCUCUAUUCUAAUCAAUCAAUUAAUUACCGUAGCGAGGACUAGGAAAGCAGGACAUGUUUGUAUAUAUAUGUUAAACAACUACGUUAAACUAAACGACCUAUCCCCUAGGGGCGGUACUAACACGAGAUGGUGGUUCACCCAUCCAGCGGGAAUUCGGUACGAAAACGGAACACCACCCUUCCCUGCUUUACACGGAACUUUACCGGUGGUUGCUCCUUCUUAGUCUGUCGGAUUUAGUUAGGGUUCUUCUUUC